rnacentral:rRNA from 1 species
CCAGACUCCUACGGGAGGCAGCAGUGAGGAAUAUUGGUCAAUGGGCGGAAGCCUGAACCAGCCAAGUCGCGUGAGGGACUAAGGCCCUGCGGGUCGUAAACCUCUUUUGCCGGGGAGCAGUGGUCCGGACGCGUCCGGACCGGGAGAGUACCCGGAGAAAAAGCAUCGGCUAACUCCGUGCCAGCAGCCGCGGUAAUACGGAGGAUGCGAGCGUUAUCCGGAUUUAUUGGGUUUAAAGGGUGCGUAGGCGGGCCGUUAAGUCAGCGGUAAAAAGGCGGAGCUCAACUCCGUCGAGCCGUUGAAACUGCCGUUCUUGAGUGAGCGAGAAGUAUGCGGAAUGCGUGGUGUAGCGGUGAAAUGCAUAGAUAUCACGCAGAACUCCGAUUGCGAAGGCGGCAUACCGGCGCUCAACUGACGCUGAAGCACGAAGGCGUGGGUAUCGAACAGGAUUAGAUACCCGGGUA